rnacentral:tRNA from 1 species
UGGAGUAUCGCCAAGCGGUAAGGCAGCGGGUUUUGACCCCGCCAUUCCCAGGUUCAAAUCCUGGUACUCCAGCCA